rnacentral:misc_RNA from 1 species
CUGCCGUCCUUUCUUUUCUCUUGCCUGUGCACGUGGAGGGCCACUCCUGCUUUCCUCGUUUGUGUCUCCGCGGCGCAUGCUUCUUUGCAACAUAGACGUACAUACACGCAUAAACCUCUAAGCACAUACACAUGUAUGCAUACACACCCAUACCCUCAUGUAUGUACAUCCAUGCACACACACACACACAACAAUGCACACCUCAGUCUCUUCCGUCUGCCAAGCUCUCUCAUAAUGCUCUGCGCAUGGGCGAUGGUGAAUGAGAGGACGCAGCUGCCGCCAAUGCGGAACGAGACAAGCAAAACAACUGCUCGUUUGUCCGGUAUCUGUGUUGCUGCCUUACUCUCUCGCGCGCCCACCCACCCCCUGCCCAUGUUCAUCGGUUUGUAUGUUCAUUUGUCUGUCUCCUCUGCUCCCGUGCCACCUCCUUCGCUGUCGCUCCUUGUUUCUCUGCUUCCAUCUUCUGCUGCUCCGCCCCACCGCGCCGAUUUGUGUGCUUGGGGAGGGGGAGGGAAGUGGAAGUGCGCACGAGCGCAACGUACGGCGACAACAAGCACGCCGAAUGAAAGAAAUGGUUAAAAGGCGCGACCGAAUGGAAAAAAAAAGACGGAGAGACAAAAAAAAGAAACACACACACACACACACAAAGGCAACGUGCCCACUCAACUGCAUCGAUCGCGCGCGUUUUGUACACGCAUGCGCAGUGCAUGUCAUCCUCUCGGUGCCGGCCGAUUGGGCGCACAAAGAGAGGUGGCAUGCACGCACAUAAAGAGCGAGUGCGUAUGUUGCGCCUCCCUUUCCUCUUCGCGCCACCGCCCGAUCGGAUUUUCUGUUUCCUGGCCCGACAUGCAAUCUUCUUCCUCUUCUUCCAAUGCUGCGCUCGCACUCUCCUUUUGUGCCAUUGUCUGCGUGUGGUGUGCACGGGUCAUGGUCAG